GAUGCAGUAAGUUUUAUAAAUCAUCCACCUAACAAUUUUACUGCAACAUUAAUUUCAUGUGGGUUCUAUGCUCCAAACUUUAUCCUCUCCUCACGCUUCUUCUCUCUCUGACUCUCCCAUGACCAUGGUGUCACGGUCGGCACUACCCUACUCCGGCCGCCGCUUCGGCUACCACGUCGCCCGCCGCCCAUAGCCAUGGCAUCGUGGUUGGUCCCCACCGUGCGUCGCCUCUCAUCUCCGCGCCACCACACCCUGUCUCCAGCCGGAGC
rnacentral:lncRNA from 1 species